rnacentral:rRNA from 1 species
UACAGAGGUGGCAAGCGUUGUUCGGAAUUACUGGGCGUAAAGGGCGCGUAGGCGGCCUUCUAAGUCAGACGUGAAAUCCCCAGGCUUAACUUGGGAACUGCAUCUGAUACUGGAAGGCUUGAGUGCGGGAGAGGGAUGUGGAAUUCCAGGUGUAGCGGUGAAAUGCGUAGAUAUCUGGAGGAACACCGGUGGCGAAGGCGGCAUCCUGGACCGACACUGACGCUGAGGCGCGAAAGCCAGGGGAGCAAACGGG